ACAGCUGCAGAGUCACCGUCUCUGAAUCAAAGUCUGAGAAAAAAGAAACAAACCGGCAACCUGGAAAAUCCCAACCACCAGAUCUGAAUAAAGAAACCAGAGUCACGGGGUCUGGAAUCAUUUUGGCUUCCUAUAUCUGUGGCUGGCUGAUCCUGGGUGGAUGUUUGUUUCGUCUGAAUUAUCUAAAACUAAGGAAAAUAUUCUCACAAAUAACCAGUGAGUUUGGACCUGAGGUCUCGGAUCAGCUCCUGUGUGGCCCUGUAGCUCCAACCAGCUCUCAUUCUGAUCUGUCCCACACUGCUGCUUACUGAACAAGGCAACAAGAUGUUCAGUAAGUUGGUGCCAAGAAUCAACAGAGGGAACAAACAAAAAUAACAGAGAAAAUGUUUAGCAAAAGCAAACAACCAACAUUUUGUUGAUGGUUUGCAGUG